GCCCAGCUAGCUCAGUCAGUAGAGCAUGAGACUCUUAAUCUCAGGGUCAUAGGUUCAUGUCCCACAUUGGAUG
rnacentral:tRNA from 1 species